rnacentral:tRNA from 3 species
GCCACGAUAGCUCAGUUGGUAGAGCAAUUCAUUCGUAAUGAAUAGGUCGUCGGUUCGAGUCCGACUCGUGGCU